rnacentral:rRNA from 1 species
UGGGGAAUAUUGCACAAUGGAGGGAACUCUGAUGCAGCGACGCCGCGUGAGUGAUGAAGGAAUUCGUUUCGUAAAACUCUGUUCUAUGGGAAGAAAAGGACUGUACCAUAGGAGAAAGCUCCGGCUAAAUACGUGCCAGCAGCCGCUGUAAUACGUAUGGAGCGAGCGUUGUCCGGAAUUAUUGGGCGUAAAGGGUGCGCAGGCGGCUUUACAAGUUGGAUGUGAAAUAUUGUGGCUCAACCACAAACGUGCAUCCAAAACUGCAAAGCUUGAGUUAAGGAGAGGUAAGUGGAAUUCCUGGUGUAGCGGUGGAAUGCGUAGAUAUCAGGAGGAAUACCGGUGGUGAAGGCGACUUACUGGACUUAAACUGACGCUCAGGCACGAAAGCGUGGGGAGCAAACAGG